UCUCACCAUUGGUUGCUCCCCCAAUCGGUGAGACAGCUAGGGCUGCAUCUCUCCCUCGCGUUGACGCCGCCGCCCCGUCCCCUUCUCUUCGUUGCCUCCCCUCGCGCCGCCGCCCUCCGAGAAGCAACGCGGCCACUACUGCUCUGUGUUGCGCCGAGCUUGCCACCGCCGCCGCUCUCCCCGUCGAGCUCGUCCCUCACCACCGGCCCUCAAGUUGUGGAGGGGCAACAGGCAGCGGUGGACGAGGAGAUCGCCGCCACCCACCGCCUCGAACCAUGCCGUCGGCACCCAUCCACCCGUCCUCCUCUCCCCUCCCUCCUCGCUGAGAUCGCCGUCGGUGCUGCUCUCCCCGUCGAGCUCGCCCCUCGCCAUUGCCGGGAGGAGACACCACCGGCCAAAGCGUCGAUGGGGGCCUCCAUGGUUGUCGGCGUCCUCCUCCUUGCCGACCUCAGCCCGCCACAUCCGUCUUUCAUGCCCGUCUCCCUCCACUCGAGCCGUCGACUCGCGCUCGCCCUUCGUCGGAGGAGUGACGAGGAGGCCAGGUGGAACGCGCCGUCGUCGGGUUCCAGUGGCUCGACCAGGCCCUCCACCGUAGAGACCCCUCCUUCAUGACCCGCACGAGAAGUUCCUCCGCCCCAUGCGGGGCAUGCAGGGCACGCUCAUCGUCGCAUCCACGCUCCAGAUCGUCAUGGGCUUCAGCGGUCACUGGCGCAUCGUCAUCAGACUGCUGAGCCCGCUGUUGGCCGUGCCGCUCAUCGCACUCGUAGGAUUUGGGCUCUACGAGCUUGGAUUACCAAGUGAUAACUGUACCAUACCCAUUCCAGUGGGGAGCACCGACUUUUGAUGCUGGUGAAUGCUUUGCCAUGAUGGCAGCUACUUUUGUUGCUCUUGUUUUAUAGCUUCAAUCUGCGAUGUGGAAGAAUAUUGGCAUGACUAAUUUCUCAAAAAAAAAAAACUUGCUUUUUCAGCACCAUGUUGUUAAUCCAUCAGAUAUGAACCAAUGAAUUUAUAAACAGAAAUGUUUUGUGUUGCUCUUU